rnacentral:rRNA from 1 species
AGCGAACGCUGGCGGCAGGCCUAACACAUGCAAGUCGAACGAACUCUUCGGACUUAGUGGCGGACGGGUGGGUAACACGUGGGAACGUGCCUUUUGGUUCGGUAUCACUCAGGGAGACUUGUGCUAAUAACGAAUGUGCCCUUAGGGGGGAAGAUUUCUCGCCGUUACAUCGGCCCGCGUCUGAUUAGCUAGUUGGUGAUGUACCGGCUCACCAACGAGACGUUGAGUGGCUGGUCGGAGAGGAGGGCAAGCCACACUGGGACUGAGGCACGGCCCAGACUCCUACGGGAGGCAGCAGUAGAUAAUCUUGCGCGAGGGGCGAAAGCCUGACGCAGCCAUGCCGCGGGAAUGAUGAAGGUCUUAGGAUUGUAAAAUUCUUUCUCCGGGGACGAUAAUGACGGUACCCGGAGAAGAAGCCCCGGCUAACUACGUG